rnacentral:rRNA from 1 species
UGGCUCAGGAUGAACGCUAGCUACAGGCUUAACACAUGCAAGUCGAGGGGCAUCAGGAAGAAAGCUUGCUUUCUUUGCUGGCGACCGGCGCACGGGUGAGUAACACGUAUCCAACCUGCCCUUUACUCGGGGAUAGCCUUUCGAAAGAAAGAUUAAUACCCGAUAGCAUAAUGAUUCCGCAUGGUUUCAUUAUUAAAGGAUUCCGGUAAAGGAUGGGGAUGCGUUCCAUUAGGUUGUUGGUGAGGUAACGGCUCACCAAGCCUUCGAUGGAUAGGGGUUCUGAGAGGAAGGUCCCCCACAUUGGAACUGAGACACGGUCCAAACUCCUACGGGAGGCAGCAGUGAGGAAUAUUGGUCAAUGGGCGCUAGCCUGAACCAGCCAAGUAGCGUGAAGGAUGAAGGCUCUAUGGGUCGUAAACUUCUUUUAUAUAAGAAUAAAGUGCAGUAUGUAUACUGUUUUGUAUGUAUUAUAUGAAUAAGGAUCGGCUAACUCCGUGCCAGCAGCCGCGGUAAUACGGAGGAUCCGAGCGUUAUCCGGAUUUAUUGGGUUUAAAGGGAGCGUAGGUGGACUGGUAAGUCAGUUGUGAAAGUUUGCGGCUCAACCGUAAAAUUGCAGUUGAUACUGUCAGUCUUGAGUACAGUAGAGGUGGGCGGAAUUCGUGGUGUAGCGGUGAAAUGCUUAGAUAUCACGAAGAACUCCGAUUGCGAAGGCAGCUCACUGGACUGCAACUGACACUGAUGCUCGAAAGUGUGGGUAUCAAACAGGAUUAGAUACCCUGGUAGUCCACACAGUAAACGAUGAAUACUCGCUGUUUGCGAUAUACAGUAAGCGGCCAAGCGAAAGCAUUAAGUAUUCCACCUGGGGAGUACGCCGGCAACGGUGAAACUCAAAGGAAUUGACGGGGGCCCGCACAAGCGGAGGAACAUGUGGUUUAAUUCGAUGAUACGCGAGGAACCUUACCCGGGCUUAAAUUGCAGUGGAAUGAUGUGGAAACAUGUCAGUGAGCAAUCACCGCUGUGAAGGUGCUGCAUGGUUGUCGUCAGCUCGUGCCGUGAGGUGUCGGCUUAAGUGCCAUAACGAGCGCAACCCUUAUCUUCAGUUACUAACAGGUUAUGCUGAGGACUCUGGAGAGACUGCCGUCGUAAGAUGUGAGGAAGGUGGGGAUGACGUCAAAUCAGCACGGCCCUUACGUCCGGGGCUACACACGUGUUACAAUGGGGGGUACAGAAGGCAGCUAGCGGGUGACCGUAUGCUAAUCCCAAAAGCCUCUCUCAGUUCGGAUCG